CCGGUAACGGCCUUAUUAACAUCAUCUGAUGAUUCU
rnacentral:scRNA from 1 species